rnacentral:rRNA from 1 species
AACGAACGCUGGCGGCAUGCCUAACACAUGCAAGUCGAACGAGACCUUCGGGUCUAGUGGCGCACGGGUGCGUAACGCGUGGGAACCUGCCCUUAGGUUCGGAAUAACUCCCCGAAAGGGGUGCUGAUACCGGAUAAUGUCUUCGGACCAAAGAUUUAUCGCCUUUGGAUGGGCCCGCGUUGGAUUAGCUAGUUGGUAGGGUAAAAGCCUACCAAGGCGACGAUCCAUAGCUGGUCUGAGAGGAUGAUCAGCCACACUGGGACUGAGACACGGCCCAGACUCCUACGGGAGGCAGCAGUGGGGAAUAUUGGACAAUGGGCGAAAGCCUGAUCCAGCAAUGCCGCGUGAGUGAUGAAGGCCUUAGGGUUGUAAAGCUCUUUUACCCGGGAUGAUAACGACAGUACCGGGAGAAUAAGCUCCGGCUAACUCCGUG